UUUGUUAAGCUAGAUGUGAAAGCCCCGGGCUCAACCUGGGAUGGUCAUUUAGAACUGGCAGACUAGAGUCUUGGAGAGGGGAGUGGAAUUCCAGGUGUAGCGGUGAAAUGCGUAGAUAUCUGGAGGAACAUCAGUGGCGAAGGCGACUCCCUGGCCAAAGACUGACGCUCAUGUGCGAAAGUGUGGGUAGCGAACAGGAUUAGAUACCCUGGUAGUCCACACCGUAAACGCUGUCUACUAGCUGUGUGUGCCUUUAAGG
rnacentral:rRNA from 1 species